GACGAACGCUGGCGGCGUGCUUAACACAUGCAAGUCGAACGAUGAAGCCGGAGCUUGCUCUGGUGAAUUAGUGGCGAACGGGUGAGUAACACGUGAGUAACCUGCCCUUGACUCUGGGAUAACUGCUAGAAAUGGUAGCUAAUACCGGAUACGACCCUCGGAGGCAUCUCCUGGGGGGGGAAAGAAUUUCGGUCAAGGAUGGACUCGCGGCCUAUCAGCUAGUUGGUGAGGUAAAGGCUCACCAAGGCGACGACGGGUAGCCGGCCUGAGAGGGUGACCGGCCACACUGGGACUGAGACACGGCCCAGACUCCUACGGGAGGCAGCAGUGGGGAAUAUUGCACAAUGGGCGCAAGCCUGAUGCAGUAACGCCGCGUGAGGGAUGACGGCCUUCGGGUUGUAAACCUCUUUUAGCAGGGAAGAAGCGAAAGUGACGGUACCUGCAGAAAAAGCACCGGCUAACUACGUGCCAGCAGCCGCGGUAA
rnacentral:rRNA from 1 species